UACGUAGGACGCAAGCGUUGUCCGGAAUUAUUGGGCGUAAAGAGCUCGUAGGCGGUCUGUUGCGUCCGCUGUGAAAACUCGGGGCUUAACCCCGAGCCUGCAGUGGAUACGGGCAGACUAGAGGUAGGUAGGGGAGAAUGGAAUUCCCGGUGUAGCGGUGAAAUGCGCAGAUAUCGGGAGGAACACCGGUGGCGAAGGCGGUUCUCUGGGCCGUUACCUGACGCUGAGGAGCGAAAGCGUGGGGAGCGAACAGGG
rnacentral:rRNA from 1 species